UCGAAUGCAACCGGCAACCGCCAACUGCGGCGUCAGUUGCAGUUGCAACUGUUACCUUCGGAGGAUCAACGACCUGAUAACUAGAGGACCUGCAUUCCUAACCGAGAUUUUGUAGGACAAUUGGAUUAAUUCUUUGAUGACCGACAAUGCUAAAAAUGUCGAGUAAUGGUCUUAGAACUUUUCGAUCAGGACUUGCGAACUAGUGGUUCCACACCGAAUUGUAGUUUCGACAUGGCUGCUUUAAAGGCAACGGGGUGAAGUCCGCCAGGUCCAGGAAUUGCCGGGAGAGUUCGGAACCGCGACAGCCAAGAUUGCUACCAGGAUACUCCAUCAGGCUUGAGAGGCCCUCGGUGCAGAUUGAUGUUUAUCGUGGCCGAUCGAAUAUUGGCAAAAUUACUCAGAUUGCACGGUGCGGCGCGGUGUACACCUUUAGUUUCACCUUUCCAGAGAGUCUCUCUCUCUCUCUCUCUCUCUCUCUCUCUUUUUCAACGCGAAUCGGCCGCUUUUUUUCUUUUUGAAUUUUGAAGCUCGAGGUACAUGACGCGUAAAUUUCUCGUCGGCGAAACGGAGUUUAAUUAGUCUAGACGACGUUGUAUCGGAAUUUGAGUGUUUGCGGUGAGAGUCGAGUAUCGAUAACUUUAGAUACUAUGGCCAUGGACUAGGUGUACGAGUAAACGUAUCAAUCAAUGCAUUUUUCUCCAGUUUUCUGGGAUUGUAUGUCCCAUUACAAUUUUUAUAUCACUUAAACCGUUAUCAAUAUAUGAUGCAUAGCCCCUGAA